UACGAAGGGUGCUAGCGUUGUUCGGAAUCACUGGGCGUAAAGCGCGCGUAGGCGGCUUUGUAAGUUAGAGGUGAAAGCCCGGGGCUCAACCCCGGAACUGCCUUUAAAACUGCAUCGCUUGAAUCCGGGAGAGGUGAGUGGAAUUCCGAGUGUAGAGGUGAAAUUCGUAGAUAUUCGGAAGAACACCAGUGGCGAAGGCGGCUCACUGGACCGGCAUUGACGCUGAGGUGCGAAAGCGUGGGGAGCAAACAGG
rnacentral:rRNA from 1 species